CAUAGUGGGUGAUAGCCCCGUACGCGAAAGGAUCUUUGAAGUGAAAUCGAGUAGGACGGAGCACGAGAAACUUUGUCUGAACAUGGGGGGACCAUCCUCCAAGGCUAAAUACUACUGACUGACCGAUAGUGAACCAGUACCGUGAGGGAAAGGCGAAAAGAACCCCGGAGAGGGGAGUGAAAUAGAACCUGAAACCGUAUGCGUACAAGCAGUGGGAGCCUACUUGUUAGGUGACUGCGUACCUUUUGUAUAAUGGGUCAGCGACUUAUAUUCAGUGGCAAGCUUAACCGUAUAGGGUAGGCGUAGCGAAAGCGAGUCUUAAUAGGGCGUUUAGUCGCUGGGUAUAGACCCGAAACCGGGCGAUCUAUCCAUGAGCAGGUUGAAGGUUAGGUAACACUGACUGGAGGACCGAACCCACUCCCGUUGAAAAGGUAGGGGAUGACUUGUGGAUCGGAGUGAAAGGCUAAUCAAGCUCGGAGAUAGCUGGUUCUCCUCGAAAGCUAUUUAGGUAGCGCCUCAUGUAUCACUCUGGGGGGUAGAGCACUGUUUCGGCUAGGGGGUCAUCCCGACUUACCAAACCGAUGCAAACUCCGAAUACCCAGAAGUGCCGAGCAUGGGAGACACACGGCGGGUGCUAACGUCCGUCGUGAAAAGGGAAACAACCCAGACCGCCAGCUAAGGUCCCAAAGUUGUGGUUAAGUGGUAAACGAUGUGGGAAGGCUUAGACAGCUAGGAGGUUGGCUUAGAAGCAGCCACCCUUUAAAGAAAGCGUAAUAGCUCACUAGUCGAGUCGGCCUGCGCGGAAGAUGUAACGGGGCUCAAACCACAC
rnacentral:rRNA from 1 species